GGUGUCUUUAUGUUUGCCUAGCCACCACGUAAAGUUUCAUAUGUAGUUCUACUUAUUACUAUUGUUAUGGUGUCUUCAGGCACGCCUUCCAUGAUUUUGUUUCUUCUUAUGAUGUCUUUUCUCCUCUUUUAGUUGUUACUGGUGAUUCUAGGGCGUUUAGUCGACUAGUUGCUAGUACUAUUAGUAUUGUUAUAACUGAGAAUAAAUUAUUUUCUUCAAGGUUUAUGGAAAAGGAGCGUGUCUGGGACUAUCCUCCUAAUCCGUAUGGGAUGAGUGGGUACGAUUUCUUCUCAUUCGGCAGGACAGGCGGUGAAGUAACUGAUGCAUUGGGCAAACCAGGUCAUUAUCUGUGGUAAUAAUAUGAUUAAAGAGGACUAACAUGAAGCAGAAUUUCAUCAUAGCAUGUGUGUUUACGAUCUUUAACUAAUGUUUGUCUUUUUGCAUGUAAGAUAAUGGGAUGUUCCUAUGAGUUCUUAAUGUGACACUGGUUAUAUGUUGGUACUUAUGUUCGUAUUUAGAAGGGUAUGUUUAUUUGCAUGAA